rnacentral:lncRNA from 1 species
GGCAUUGGCGGGAACUCAUGAAUCCCUUGAAUUAAGCAAGCCAUCUGAUGUUUGAAUAUCAGUCGUUGGAUGGCUAGAAGCAUCCAAGGUCAGGAUUGGAUGGUAAUCAAGCUGAAGGAGCAAGAUAUCACAGCUUGUUAAAGACAAGACUGAGCAACUGAAGACAAGAAGACAAACUGCAGUGUCAGGUUGUUAUAACAACUUUUGUAAUGUCUUGUGAUGAAAUUGAUAGUCGUUGAUGCUAGGACUUGAUGUAACUAAAACAUGAGAACCUAGUUCUAUAUAAAGCAUUGUAAUGCAUUGAAUCCACUGGCUGGAAAAAAUAAAAUUGAUUCUUUAUUUUUGCUUGUGAAUUGUGUGAAAACUACUAGCCUCCUUUUUUUAUCUUGGUAUCAGAGCUUUAAAAAUCCAGAAAUGGAUAAUCAAACAACAAAUGAGCCAACCCCAGAAGCUGUAAUCAACAACACACCACCAGCUCAAACACAAAGUCCUUUACCCACCCAAACACAAACUGAAUCAUCAUCCUCACACACAAACAUGCAUGUACCCAUAAGUUUUUCCUUCACAGCCCCUGUGAAACUUGACAGAGGAAAUUACAUUAUAUGGAAAGCCUAGGUCUUGCCUGCUAUCCGUGGCAAUGGCCUGGAAAACUUUAUUGAUAGAACAUCUGUAUGUCCAGAAAAGUUCCUAGUGGAUGCUGAUGCAGAAAACAAUUUCAUAGCAUCUGCAAACCCUGCAUAUGCACUCUGGCGUAGACAAGACCAACUUCUCUUAAGUUGGCUUCUUUCUACAAUAUCAGAGAAUAUUAUCACUGUUGUGACACGUUGCACAACUUCACAAGAACUGUGGUCUGUGCUGGAAAGGCUUUAUGCCUCCCAAUCAAUAGCCAGAUCUAUAGUUAUCAAGAUGCAGUUGCAUGGUGCAAGAAAAGACACACAAACUAUCACUGAGUUUUGGACAAAAGUAAGAAACUUGGCAAAUGAGUUGCAAAUGGCAGGAAAGCCAGUUUCAGAAGAAGAUCUUUGCUCUCAUAUGCUUACUGGCCUUGGCCAAUCUUUUGAGUCCGUUGUUGUUAACCUCACUUCAAGACUUCAUGAACUGACCUUUGAUGAAAUGUAUUCUGUGUUGUUGAACCAUGAAGCCAAACUGGAGCAGAAUGCAACUCACGACAACAAUUUUAAAGCAAAUAUGGCCUCAAGGCAAGAAAUGAACAACUGGACCCAAAAGAGGAAUGAGAGACCAAGGAACCAACCACCAAACCAGUACCUUAGUCCACAAAAUCAAUACUUUGAACCUUCCAACAAUGGUGCUGGAAGACUAAAUAAAGGAAAAGGAAGGGGGAGACCACAUGGAGCAAAGAAGACGGUAUUCAAGCCUGGAGUUUUUUUGUCAAAUUUGCCACAAAGAGGGCCAUACAGCUGAUGAGUGUUGGUACAGAAAAGAAGAUGACUUUGAACCAAAGCCUGAAAACUAUCAACCAAGAGGAGCCUUUCUGGCAACAAAUGAAGAAAGCAAUGAACCAAGCUGGUACUUAGACAGUGAAGCAACUAAUCAUGUCACAAAUGACCUCAACAACCUCAGUGUAAGGUCUGAGUACAAAGGUAACUCCUUUCUCUUAAUUGGAAAUGGACACAAGCUUAAAAUCACACAUAGGAACGAUACAUUUGCCUAUAUAUGCUGGUAACAAAUAUGAACAUCUUGUGCUUAAAAUGGUAUUUGUAGUUCCACAAAUAACCAAAAACCUAUUAAGUAUCUCUAGCCUUACAACAGAUAACAAACUAACAAUUGUAUUUUCUGAUGAAACUUGUGUUGUUAAGGACAAAUUGGAGAAUAUUCUUCUUCAUGGAAUUGAUAUAGAAAGGUUGUUUCAGAUUGUUGGAAGUCAAGAAUAUGUAUGUCCGAGGAAGAGAUGUGCUGCUGAUAGAGUCUACAAAUCAGAGUCUUUGUUUGCUUCAAUAAGUGAGGCUUCUGUCUCAGAAAGUGUUGAUGAGUCUUUAAGUUCUAAGCCUAGUAGUGAGUCAAUUAAUCAACCUGACAUGUUACACAGAAGGUUUGGCCACCCUUGUGAACAGACCCUUAUAAAAAUCAUUUCAAGUUGUAAAAAUUUAUCUACUUUCAAUAAAGAAAAAUCUUUGAGUUUCUGCACUGCAUGCCAAUAUGGUAAAAAUCACAAAUUGACUCUUAAAAGCUCACAAACACAGACAAAGCAGCCAUUUGAACUGAUCCAUGCAGAUCUUUGGGGUCCAGCACCUAUAAUUUCAGGAAAAAGUUACAGGUACUACUUAAGUAUUGUUGAUAAUCACAUAAGAUACACAUGGAUUUACCCCUUAACCAACAAAGCAGAAAUAACACAAACCUUCAUUGACUUCAAGAAUCAAAUAGAGAAAACAUUAAAUAAACAGAUCAAGUGUUUACAGACUGAUAUGAGGGGGAGAAUUUAGACCAUUAACCGAGUUUCUUAGGAACAAUGGAAUCAUGUUCCGACAUUCCUGUCCAUAUACGUCAAUACAAAAUGGUCAAGUUGAAAGGAAGUAUAGGCACAUUGUAGAAAUAACACUCACCAUGCUAGCACAAACAAACAUGCCCUUAAAACUGUGGUGUAACGCCUUUGAAACUGCUGCAUAUUUUAUCAAUAGAAUGCCUACACAGGCCCUAGGUCAUAUCAGUCCAUACAAAAAAGUUUACAACAAUGAGCCUAAUUAUGCCUUCCUAAAAACUUUUGGGUGUGCCCGUUUUCCAUAUUUAAGACCCUAUAAUCAACAUAAACUUCAGUACCAUACCACUAAAUCUGUGUUUAUAGGGUAUAGCUUACAACAUAAAGGAUACAAAUGUCUAGAUAGCACAGGCAAAGUUUAUGUAGCUAGACAUGUGAUUUUCAAUGAGAAUGAGUUUCCUUUUGUUAUAGAUAAGAACUUUGAGACUAACAAAAGUGAAAGCAGGACAAGUAGUCAACCUAACUAUCAUCAGCUUCGAUUACUUCCUUGUGGCACUUUCUCAACUCCACAAUCAAACAACAAUCCAUACAAAACAUCCAAAGAGGGUGAACAUAACUCCACACAAGAUACAAUGCAAGCAUCAUUCGAAAAUCAAAUCAGAACACCAAACCAAGACCAGAUCCAAACACAUCAACCAAACACAGAAACAUAAUUGGAGAUAGUCAAUAUAGAACCUGAACGACCAUUAGAACCAUUAAACACACACCCUAUGGUAACCAGAUCCAAACAUGGAAUCUACAAGCCUAAAAUAUACCUUACACAAAGGAGUUCAUAUGAGUUACCAACAAAUAUAGUAAGUGCUAUCAGGAAUGUGAAAUGAAGAAAUGCUAUGUUGGAUGAAUACAAAGCUCUACUGGAAAACAAAACUUGGGAAUUGGUGAAAGUUCAAGAGGGUACAAAGGUCAUCGGAAACAAAUGGGUGUACAAAGUAAAACACAAUCUAGAUGGGACAGUAGCGAGACACAAGGGAGAUUAGUGGCCAAAGGCUAUAACCAAACAGCAGAGGUUGAUUACACAGAAACCUUCAGUCCAGUGGCCAAGUCAUCCACAAUCAAGGUACUCUUGAGUUUGGCUGUCAACUAUGGUUGGGACAUCAAACAAGUAGAUGUCAACAAUGCCUUUUUUAAUAGAGAACUAAAUGAAACCGUGUUCAUGGAGCAACCAGAAGGAUUCAAAGUGAAAGGAAAGGAAAACUAUGUAUGUAGACUAAAGAAAGCACUCUAUGGAUUGAAACAAGCUCCAAGGGCUUGGUAUGAAAAGCUCAAAGCUGCCCUACUCAACUGGGGAUACAAGAACUCAGUCUCGGAUACCUCACUGUUUCAUUGGAGGGAUAAUAAAGAAGUCAUAUACGUACUUGUGUAUGUAGAUGACAUACUCAUAACUGGUAGUAGCCAAGAUCCUGUCAAUGACCUGAUUAAAAAACUUAAUGAGAGUUUCGCGUUGAAGGAGCUAGACUCAUUAAGUUAUUUUCUUGGAAUUAAAGUAAAAAAGGACCGUGCAGGGAUGCAUAUUUGCCAAAGCAAGUAUGUGCAAGAACUUCUAGAGAAGACAAACAUGAAAGGGUGCAAAGAAAGCAUAACCCCAUUAAGUUCAAGUGUGAAGUACACCUUGGAGACUGAAGAAGAAGAGAGAGGACAACUUUUUGAAGACAAAACUCUCUACAGUAGUGUCAUUGAAGCUUUGCAGUAUGCAACCAUCACCCGGCCAGACAUUGCUUACAGCGUCAAUAAACUAAGUCAAUUCAUGCAAGAAUCGAAAGUGAUACACUAGCAAGGCUGCAAAAGGAUCUUGAGAUACCUUCAAGGCACCCUAAAUUAUGGUCUGUACUUCACACCUGGAAACAAAAUGGAAAUCUCAACCUUUACAGAUGCUGAUUGGGGAGCUGAUAGAGAUGACAGAAAGUCUACAGGUGGUUAUUGCAUCUUUUUGGCAGGAAAUCUAGUCUCCUGGAGUUCAAAGAAGCAGAAGGUAGUAUCAACCUCCAGCACAGAAGCAGAAUAUAGAUCACUGUCAAAUGGAGCAACUGAAUUGACUUGGUUACAAUCCUUACUUGCAGAGAUGAACAUCAAGUUGGAGAAGAGGCCAAUAAUAUGGUGUGACAACAAGAGUGCAAUAGCUCUUGCUGAAAAUCCAAUCUUUCAUGGAAGAACCAAACACAUUGAAAUAGAUGUUCACUUCGUGAGGAAUAAAAUCAGCAACCGAGAGUUUGAUUUGAAGUAUGUGGAAAGCAAGAACCAAGUUGCAAAUAUAAUGACCAAGGCACUACCUAAUCGAAGUUUCGAAUAUCUAAGAAGCAAGCUCAAUGUCUUAGCAUAUGAUUGAGCUUGAGAGGGGGAGUUAAAAUAAAUGUGUCUGAGGUUGCUGCACAAUUGUUUGAUAAUAUACCUGAAUGAAGGCAUUGGCGGGAACUCAUGAAUCCCUUGAAUUGAGCAAGCAAUCUGAUGUUUGAAUAUCAGUCGUUGGAUGGCUAAAAGCAUCAAAGGUCAGGAUUGGAUGGUAAUCAAGCUGAAGGAGCAAGAUAUCACAGCUUGUUAAAGACAAGACUAAGCAACUGAAGACAAGAAGACAAACUGAAGUGUUAGGUUGUUAUAACAACUUUUGUAAUGACUUGUGAUGAAAUUGAUAGCCG